rnacentral:pre_miRNA from 8 species
GUGAGUGGUUCUCUGGCAGUGUCUUAGCUGGUUGUUGUGUGGAGUGAGAACGAAGCAAUCAGCAAGUAUACUGCCGCAGAAACUCGUCAC